ACAUGCUUACAUCCCAGUCUUAAUGCACUGGAUCCCAUUAGAACUUUGUCGUUAAGCAUGCUCGGGAUAGAGUAGUAUUGGGAUGGGUGACCACCUAGGAAGUCCUAGUGUUUUACAUGCC
rnacentral:rRNA from 1 species